rnacentral:rRNA from 1 species
UACGUAUGGGGCAAGCGUUAUCCGGAUUUACUGGGUGUAAAGGGAGCGUAGACGGUACGGCAAGCCCGAUGUGAAAACCCGCAGCUCAACUGCGGGAUUGCAUUAGGAACUGUCGAACUGGAGUGUCGGAGAGGUAAGUGGAAUUCCUAGUGUAGCGGUGAAAUGCGUAGAUAUUAGGAGGAACACCAGUGGCGAAGGCGGCUUACUGGACGAUCACUGACGUUGAGGCUCGAAAGCGUGGGGAG